rnacentral:rRNA from 1 species
UACGUAGGGGGCAAGCGUUGUCCGGAAUUACUGGGCGUAAAGCGCGCGUAGGCGGCUUUGCAAGCCGGAUGUGAAAUCCCCGGGCUUAACCUGGGAACUGCAUUCGGGACUGCAUUGCUAGAGUAUGGGAGAGGGAAGUGGAAUUUCAGGUGUAGCGGUGAAAUGCGUAGAUAUCUGAAGGAACAUCAGUGGCGAAAGCGACUUCCUGGACCAAUACUGACGCUCAUGUGCGAAAGCGUGGGGAGCAAACAGG